rnacentral:rRNA from 1 species
CGUGUAGGCGGUCUCGUAUGUCUGACGUGAAAGCCCCGGGCUCAACCCGGGAAGUGCGUUGGAAACUGCGAGACUAGGGUCUCGGAGAGGAAGGUGGAAUUCCAGGUGUAGCGGUGAAAUGCGUAGAUAUCUGGAAGAACACCGGUGGCGAAGGCGGCCUUCUGGACGAUGACUGACGCUGAGACGCGAAAGCGUGGGGAGCAAACA